UACGUAGGUGGCGAGCGUUGUCCGGAUUUAUUGGGUUUAAAGGGUGCGUAGGCGGCUUUUUAAGUCAGUGGUGAAAUACCCCGGCUCAACCGGGGGGGUGCCAUUGAUACUGAAAGGCUUGAGUACAGACGAGGCAGGCGGAAUUGACAGUGUAGCGAUGAAAUGCAUAGAUAUUGUCAAGAACACCGAUAGCGAAGGCAGCUUGCUAGCCUGUAACUGACGCUGAGGCACGAAAGUGUGGGGAUCAAACAGG
rnacentral:rRNA from 1 species